rnacentral:tRNA from 2 species
UAGGUGGUAGGUUAUCUUCUAAUUUAAACCUUCUCCGUUCAAAGGAGACAAUGACUUGUAUGUUCCACUUAA